rnacentral:rRNA from 1 species
GAUGAACGCUGGCGGCGUGCCUAAUACAUGCAAGUAGAACGCUGAAGGAAGGAGCUUGCUCUUUCCGGAUGAGUUGCGAACGGGUGAGUAACGCGUAGGUAACCUGCCUGGUAGCGGGGGAUAACUAUUGGAAACGAUAGCUAAUACCGCAUAACAGUAGAUGCUGCAUGAUAUCUACUUAAAAGGUGCAAUUGCACCACUACCAGAUGGACCUGCGUUGUAUUAGCUGGUUGGUGAGGUAACGGCUCACCAAGGCGACGAUACAUAGCCGACCUGAGAGGGUGAUCGGCCACACUGGGACUGAGACACGGCCCAGACUCCUACGGGAGGCAGCAGUAGGGAAUCUUCGGCAAUGGACGGAAGUCUGACCGAGCAACGCCGCGGGAGUGAAGAAGGUUGUCGGAUCGUAAAGCUCUGUUGUAAGAGAAGAACGAGUGUGAGAGUGGAAAGUUCACACUGUGACGGUAUCUUACCAGAAAGGGACGGCUAACUACGUG